UACAGAGGGGGCAAGCGUUGUUCGGAAUUACUGGGCGUAAAGGGCGCGUAGGCGGCCGCCUAAGUCAGACGUGAAAUCCCUCGGCUCAACCGGGGAACUGCGUCUGAUACUGGGUGGCUUGAAUCCGGGAGAGGGACGUGGAAUUCCAGGUGUAGCGGUGAAAUGCGUAGAUAUCUGGAGGAACACCGGUGGCGAAGGCGACGUCCUGGACCGGCAUUGACGCUGAGGCGCGAAAGCCAGGGGAGCAAACGGG
rnacentral:rRNA from 1 species